CUUAUGCCCAGUUUUCCAAGGGGCCUGGCUCGGUGCAGCCCUCCCCGAGCUGCAGGAUUCCCUGGAUCCCAGGAAGCCACUAACUGCUAAGAAGCCAUGACAAUUUAACAGCACCUUCCUCCAGAGGAGGGAACAAGAAACCUGCCACAGUCAGUGUACACACGAGGGGAGAAGGGCUUUGACUUUAAGAAACAAGAGGGCCUGGAACCUUCCUUCACAUCCCCGAGGUGAACCUAUACAGGGCUUCCUCGUAUGGGACGCUCUCAGUGACCCCUGCUGUGCACUAAGAACCAGCCCCUUGAACGUGAACUCCAGAGACCCUUCUAAGAGGACAAGCGCUCAGCAGACUUCGAGCUUCGACAGCAGCAGGGGUCCUGCAUCCGACUGUGAGGCAAAAAUGGUGUAUAAUCCCCACGCCCUCAAAUGCCCUUCUGUUAGAAAGCACAGCGCCCAGGGUUUGGGGAUCAUGGACUCUCUCUAUGGCCAGUUUCUCCUCCAGGGUUGGUGGGGGAGAAAAAGAAAAAAAUCUGUUUCUCCGCUCCGGCACCAGAUGAAGUGGGUUUGUGUCUGGGGUCACGUUAUUGGAAACAGAAGUGCCUGAUGACGACCAUGAUAGUUACCCCGUGUCUGUGGCUGAAUUAAGAUAAACUCGGUGAUUAGACUCCACAGUGAAAGAGAUAUUCCUGUGUUUCACUCCAAGACCUCAGAUCACUUUAAUCCUCGGAGAGCAGCCGCGAACCUUCGGAGGGAUCUGGGCACAGGUCCCCCGGUGUGCGUGCGCCCACCCGCGUCCAGCCGCAGCUCUAGAUUUCACAGUACGGUUCGCCACACCAGGGAGGGACCGCUGCCUGCGAAGUGCUGCCCUCCUCAUGGCUUGGGAUGCAGAAGAUUGCAAAAUGACCUUUUGAAUCUGUGCUGGCCACAUUCUUUCCUCGGAUUUAAAUAAAGCGAUGCCUGUUCCCCUGAUUUUCCUUGGUUGAUACAGCUCCGAGGAAUGGAGCAGGGUAGCCGCACAGCGGGGACAAGCCAGUGAUGAGUCAGAAGCCAGGGGUCAUGUUACGGGGCGAGCCCUCCAGAAAUCAGCUGUGGUCAAGGAUCAAAGCAACAGCCUCCCAAGCCGCCCGCGAGGAAGGACGUUUCCCCGGAUGCCGCCUCUCCAACCGUAUUGGAACAGAGCUGGUCACUCUCCUUCAAGGAGUGGUGUCUUCUAAAUGAAUGUAUUCGUUUACAUGUGGAAUCUGGCUUCUUCACAAACAGCAAGCCAAUUUUCCUUCAUUGUUUGCUUCCUCCCUCUCUUCUCCCUUCAUUUUCAAAGACAUAUACUGAGCAGCAACUGUGUAUCCAGCAUCAUCAUUAACGCAGGGAUCUCUGUAGGAUUUGUAGGAAUUUCCUGAGGACCUAGCAUAUGAUCCACACUUUACCAGGAUGAUGGGAAGAUGCUAUCAGAAGAAACAAUGGCAGACACUGCUUCUGAUCAUAAGGAACCCCAAAGACAUACCAGUCUAGGAGCUCAUUCCGGACUGGGGUACAUUCAUCAAAUUAAAAGUAAAAAAGAAUCCUACUAACAAAAUAAAGUUUGUACAUAUUCCCAUGCUUUUGCCAAGCCUUAUUAAUUAAUGCUGUCAGACUCGACAAAGUCUAUGUUUGAUGAGAACAAUUUCCUUUAAUUAUUUUGUACUUCUCCGGGUUAAGUAAUCUAGUCUCAUAAAAAAACGACGAACAGUAACAACAACAGAAAUGUAAUCUCAGCAAACAAAUCCAACUGCACUGACACUCAGACCCAAGGGCUCCGUGUGGUGAACACAAGCACUUUCAGACAGGAAGUCCUCUAGGAUCAUUAGUCGUCGAUGAUUCCCGAGAAGCCCAGGGGGCACUGACAUUCAGAGGGACUGACUGUCUCUAGGGCUCAGAAGCCCAAAUGGUGUGUUUCCUCCUCAACUAGAGGUCAUCCGGAGACAGCCAAAGUGAAAAGAACAAUGGCAGAAAAGCCUGGAACCUCCUUAAUGAGGCUCCCGUGUGCAGGGCUGCUGGGCUGUGUCGCUCCCGGGACCCAACCGACACUGGCAUCUGGACAUGUGUGCAAGGAACGGAGGCACCUCGCACCUCCUUGUUUUGAGCUCAUAUCCACACCUGUGCACACAGUUUAACUUAAGCAACCAGGACAUCGAGAUCUCAGAUAUCGUCACACACCCAUCUCUUGCUCUCUGUGCCGGUAACCAUAAAAUCCAGGAGCUGAGUCACACGUGCUGCAAAUG